rnacentral:rRNA from 1 species
GCGCGAAACCUCUGCAAUGCGGGAAACCGUGACAGGGGGAUCCCAAGUGCUCAUGCAUUGCAUGGGCUGUUCUUUGGUCUAAGUAACCAGAGGAGUAAGGGCUGGGCAAGACCGGUGCCAGCCGCCGCGGUAAUACCGGCAGCUCAAGUGGUAGCCGCGAUUAUUGGGCCUAAAGCGUUCGUAGCCGGAUAAGUAAGUCUUUGGUUAAAUCCUGCGACUUAACCGUGGGAAAUCUAGAGAUACUGCUUGUCUUGAGACCGGGAGAGGUUGGAGGUACUCCCAGGGUAGGGGUGAAAUCCUGUAAUCCUGGGGGGACCACCUGUGGCGAAGGCGUCCAACUGGAACGGGUCUGACGGUGAGGGACGAAACCUAGGGGAGCGAGCCGGAUUAGAUACCCGGGUAGUCCUAGGCGUAAAUGAUGCGAGUUAAGUGUGGGGGCAUCUACGAGAUGGCCCUGUGCUGUAGGGUAGCCGUUAAACUCGCCGCCUGGGGAGUACGGUCGCAAGGCUGAAACUUAAAGGAAUUGGCGGGGGAGCGACCACGAAGGA